GAACUGCGAUACGUAGUGCGAUAUGCAGAACUCACUGAAUCAUCAAGAUUUUGAAUGCGAAUUGCACUCUGGAGCUUGCUUCAGAGUAUGCCUCUUUGAGUAUCGGUUUCAAUCAAUCAACCUCCUUAAUUGGUGGUUGGAGAAUGAGUGUCACUCUUGAUUAUUCAAGUGUGUCACUUUAAAUACUCUACAUACAUACUAGCCAAUACCACUUGGAAGUGCAGAUACACAUCUACACUAACAAUGGUAAUAAGAGCUAGAAGGACAUUAUAUUCAUUCGAUCUCAAAUGAGGUAAGACUACCCGCUGAACUUAA
rnacentral:misc_RNA from 1 species